ACCAUGUGACGUCACGUCCUGUACAGUCUAUGCUGCUACAGAUACGAGGCGACACGACUCACCUGAGGGGGCUGCUCUUAGACCUCACUCAUGUGGAUGACAGCUGGACUUCGGUGUGACAGAGACAGUAAAGAAUGAAGAGGAAGGGAACCAUCAGCAGCUUUUCCCAGCCUAAAAGAAGAGAGGAGGAAGAGCAUCCCAGAGAGGAGAUGGAGGAGGAAGAGUUCAGAGAAAGAAAUGAAGGCAUGCAGAGCUCAGACAGUGAAAGCAGGCCUUUGAUCAGGUAAUUGCCCCUCGGCCCCCGGAGUUUGCAUCCGCCAUAUGUCGCUAUGGCGACCACCUCUCCAGCAUCCAUCUGCGAGCCGCCUUCGCACCCCUUUUAAGACGGACUUAUAUGUUGGGAGGCUGCGAGUGACGGAGGGAAAGGGCUGCGAGGCGUCACUAGUGGAACAUCGUCCACUCCAGCAGCAGCCUGCAUACGACUGCUCAGGUUUCUUUCUUCUCCAUCUGUCUGUCUGUUUGCCCUCCCACAACAUCUUUUCACUGGAAACACAAAUUGGAUUUUUUCAGACCGUAAUAAGGAUUCUCUUUAUUUCACAAUCAGCCCCCAGAUGCACACAUGCAUGACAUGAGAGCAUCGGGUGAAGCUGAGGAGGGAAUAAAACCGUUGUAGGGCUCAGGAUGCUGCUUCAAGACACUGACAAAAGGGAAUCAAAUUCUGUAAAAGACAAGAAGUGCAUUGACAAAUUAAAAUCCACAACUUCUGCUCCUUAACAUAGAUUUUUUUCCUGCUAAAUAACGUUAUUCUAAUCACCUUUUUUUCCAUACUGUCUGUCAGGAUCACAUAUAAAUAAUCUGUUCCAGCUCUUCACUGAGGCUUUACGUUAUGCAUAAUAUUCACAUACUAGUUUCCAUCUAAUUUAAAUAAUCUCAAUGUACUGUGCAUAGUUUUUCACCACAUUUCCCCCAGAUUUAAGGUUGAUAUAUUUGUCAUUUUGUCCACCAGAAAUUAAAUAAAUGUGUCUGGGUUUAAA